UUUGAUUUGACUUAAAUGGGGGUUGUCUGGCGGUGGGUUGGCUGAGAAGAGGGAAUUGAGACAGAGAGGGAGAGGAGGUCUCAGGCGUGGAAACACAGAGAGAGGGAAAAAGAGAAGAAGAAGAAAAAGGAGAAGAAGAAGAAGAAGAAAGAAGAAGAGGAAGGGGAUUCGAGGAGGAGGGGGAUCCCGGUUGCACUUCCAGCUGAAGGAAAAAAUGUAGAUCUCCUUCCCCUCUACGCAAAGACCUCGAUUUCCAAAAAGAAAAAGGUAAAUAUCCGUCCCUAUCUAGUCUUUUGAUGACAUUAGGCUGUACAAAGGGUGGAUAUAGUCUAGAGGGGUCGGAUAAGGGUUGUAGAGGUGGUUAAAAGAGGAAGAAUCGGAUUUUAACAAUUUUUUCCGGCACUACGGAAAAACUGUGUCGAAGUCCCAACUUCGGCGAAUUAUUUAGGGGGUCAAACGGCCUCCGAUGAUGAUGCAUGUUAUCUCUUUGGAAUCCUCUAUGAGUGUAGAAUGUUAGA
rnacentral:lncRNA from 1 species